rnacentral:lncRNA from 1 species
CCCGAAGCAAGUUCCGAAGUCCCGAGGAUCCCGAGAAGUGAGAUUUCUGAGCCGAAGCCCUGCCCGCGAGGAACCCGGUUUUUGUGAAGAUUUUGCAGAUCUACGGAGAAACACUACUUCUGCAAGCCGUAGUGCUGCCCGAUCAUCUUCUGAUCAAGUGAGUGUAUAGUCCCUUUUCAAUAAGCGAUAUUAUACAAGUAAUCGUUGAAUGUAUUUGAGAAUACGGGAAGUGAGUGUGUAGUCAUUUUCAUUCCAACGCAAUAUUAUGAAGUAUUCAAUAUAUAAUACGUGCGAUUUAUAUAUAUUUUGCUAUUAUAUGUGUGAAUGUAUAUUCACUCUCUUCUAUCUCAUAAGAUCUGAUAUAUUCUCUAUGAAAUACGUGUUAUGUGUGUAUGCCUCAUCUACUAUGUGGAAUAUGUAUUGAUUAAAGCAUGCUAUACAGGUUUUUAAACAAUGUAUAAAAAUAUAUAUUUUUAUCUACUAAUAUGUUGGGUAGAACAUGGGUAGAUAAUUGGUGUGAAAUAAACAGAUGAGAGGCCUCGGUGUUAUUGGUGUUAUUCUAGUUAUUCAGCAGAGUAUGGAUGAUGACCACAGACUAUUCUAGACUUUCCUGUGGAACACUAGCAGGCUCAUUACCUAUAGGUGUUGUGAACGACGUGUUCACCGGUGUACUCUAUCCCCCACAUGGUUGCCUUUAGGGAACUUAUUGCUGAGGAAGCCCCUCUGCAGUAACGUCCGUCCCAAUGAAAAUCCUGAAUUAGGUUCCUUAUAAUAGAUGUUAUUUUAGGGACGUAAAGUGAGGAUAACGGGAAUGGGUAAUCGAGUUUAUUUUGGAUUGUUGAAAUUAAAUAUAAUUAUUGUGGGUUGAAAACCCUAUAUGCUCACCAGGCUCCCAAGCCUGACCCACUUAGUUUAUUUGUAUUACAGGAAGUGGCGCAAGAGCUUAAGAUGGGCGAAUAAUCAAGUUGUUUUGUUUACAAGUCUGUAUAUGUAUAUAUUUGUUGAAUGACUUGUAAUGUUAUCGUUUAUGCUUUAUGAUCUGUAUCGGAACAUGACAUCCCGACUUUUGAUUAUGAAAUGAAAUCAUAUUUCUAUAUGAAAUGUUUUGAUAAAUAUCUAUUUUAUCAUGUUUUGUUUUUGGGAACAAAUUCCGCAUCUCUUUUAAAAUUAAAAGGAUUUACUCUGAAAAUGUUUAAAAAGCAUAAAUGAAAUCGGUCUUUUCUGGCCGAGAUUUUGGGGAUGUCACAGUUGGUAUCAGAGCAUUAGUUUAAGCGAACUAGGAAUUUGUAGGAUUUCUAGACUUAAACUUAGUAUGCUAAGUGGAGAUUGUGAGAUGUGUGUCUGAUAAAUUUUAGACACGAGCACUAGUUUAUUUUAGGAAAGUUGCCUAAAAUGCUUUUAUGUGCUAAAUGUUAUAUGUUGCCAUAUAUGAUAUUAUUUGUUCGGAUCUACGGUUUGUUGCCAACCGGAUCUGAAGGUUUAUGUGUUUAGGAUUCUAAGCGUAUGUAUACGAUAUUAGAACUAGCAUGUAAUCGUUUGGAGUAAUAAGGUGAAAUUAUUCGGUGUGUAGAUCAAAAAUGGUGAGAACAAGAAGCGGAGUUGGAAAUGCUGAUGAAAACAGGAAUCAACCGCCUGUAAUUCAACAAGUACCUGUUGUAGCUGCUGCACCUGAGCCGAUAACAAUGGCUGGUGUACAAAUGAUGAUUCAAACGAUGUUGGAUCGUCAGAUGGAAGAAACGAGACAUUUUCUUCAACAUAAUCAUGAAGAACCAUCAAUUCAAGUAGAAGAGUCCGAGGAGAAUGGAGGGCAAUCUGAAGGAGAAAACUUUAGUGGGAUCAUUGGUCAAGACAACCCACCCGUGGUUAGGCGUAAUAACCAGGAUGGAGGAAAUGAUGGGCGUGGGUGCAAGUACAAGGAUUUCAUGGCAUCCAAACCACCAUGUCUAUCCGGAAGCCCGACGCCGGUGCAAGUUAUGGACUGGGUCUCUGAAAUGGAGACUAUGUUUGAAAGUUGCGAAUGCAGCAACAGGCAGAAGACCGCUCUUGCGAUCCCUCUGCUAAAAUCUGGUGUGCUGAGUUGGUGGAAGUUGUUAGCUGACUCUAUGCCCAAGGGAGAAGCAAGCAAAAUGUCUUGGGAAGACUUUGUGGAACAACUAAAACUGCAAUACUGCUCCGAGCAGGACCUUCUGGAAAUCAGUAAUGAGUUUCAGAAUUUGAAGAAAGGGAAAUUGAGCGUUACUGAAUACGCUGCAAGUUUCACAGAAAAGAUGAAGUUUAUCCCAUAUUUGGUGCCUACAGAACUCUCUAAGGUCAACAAGUUUGCCCUUGGACUACCAGCGGACUAUGGUCCAAUGGUUAAGCAAGCAACCACAUUGAAAGCCGCCAUCUGGGCUGCUAGAAAUGUUGAGACCCAGAUCAGGGAAAAAGGCCUGGAAAGGUCAAAGGUUGGUGAGAAGAGGAAAAUUGAUGGAUUUUUAGGGUCCAGCAAGAAAAGUAAAUUCUCGAAUUCUAGUUCGAAGGGAAGUGGAGGAAAGGUAGAGGCGAAAUGGUGCGACAAGUGCAAGAAGAAGCAUCAUGGGAAGUGUGGCGGGGAAACCACAUGCUUCAAAUGUGGAAAGCCAGGGCAUUAUGCCAACGACUGCACCUUCACCAAGAAUGUUUGUUAUGGUUGUGGUGAGGAGGGGCACAUCUCAAGGGAUUGUCCGAAAAAGAAGGAAGCAGCAAGACCCAACAUUCCGCCAAAGCCAAAGGCGAGAGCAUUCCAGAUGACACUGGAAGCUGCUAAAGAUGAAGCUGAUGUCGCUUCAGGUACCUUUCUCGUUAACAAAUUGCCUGCCCAAAUUUUAUUUGAUUCUGGAGCCAACUACUCCUUUAUAUCGCAUGAAUUUGGUAGAAAACUAGCUUUGCCUGUUGAUAGACUAGAUAAUGCUUUAUUAGUCGAAGUUGCUAGUGGCAAGUUUGUACCUGUUAGCCAUCGUAUGAAAAACAUCUUAAUUGAUCUGAAUGGGAAUAAGUUCCACGAGGAAUUAUUGUCUAUCGAACUUAACGGUUUCGACAUCGUUUUGGGAAUGAAUUGUCUUAGCGCCAAUGAUGUCGAAAUUUUAUGCAAGAAGAAAAUAAUGAAACUGAACCCGCCUGGGAAGGAAUCGUUUAUAGUGUACGGAGAUAAACGCAGAGUAAAUUCUGGAAUCAUUUCUCUAAUGAAAGCCAGAAAAUGUUUGACCAAGGGGUGUACAUCAUACUUAGCAUUCGUGAUUGACGCUAAGAAGGAAAAGAAGGUGAUGCAAAAUAUUCCUGUUGUGUGUGAUUAUCCGGAAGUAUUUCCCGAAGAUCUUCCUGGAUUACCGCCCGAUCGACAAGUAGAAUUUCGUAUCGACUUGUUGCCCGGAACAACGCCAAUUGCAAAAGCACCUUAUCGAUUAGCACCGACGGAGAUGAAGGAGCUAAUGAUGCAACUUCAGGAGUUAUUGGACAAAGGUUUCAUUAGACCUAGUUCAUCACCCUGGGGAGCUCCGGUGUUAUUCGUAAAGAAGAAAGAUGGAAGCAUGAGGAUGUGCAUUGAUUACCGAGAGCUGAAUAAGGCAACAAUAAAGAAUAGAUAUCCGUUGCCGAGGAUUGAUGACCUAUUCGAUCAACUACAAGGUUCAAGUUAUUUUUCAAAGAUCGACCUGAGGUCAGGAUAUCAUCAGCUAAAGGUAAGAGAGCAGGAUAUAGAGAAGACUGCAUUCAGAACGCGAUAUGGACACUAUGAGUUCUUGGUUAUGUCGUUUGGACUAACCAAUGCUCCAGCAGCAUUCAUGGAUUUAAUGAACAGAGUUUGUAAUCCGUUCCUUGAUAAAUCUGUGAUAGUGUUCAUAGAUGACAUUCUGAUUUAUUCAAAAAGCCAAGAGGAGCAUGGCAGACACUUGCGAGAAGUGUUAGAAGUCUUGAAGAAGGAGAAGUUGUAUGCGAAGUUCUCCAAAUGUGAUUUCUGGAUUCGUGAAGUCCAAUUCUUGGGUCACGUGGUCAACCAAGAAGGGAUAAUGGUUGAUCCAGCGAAGAUCGAAGCUGUGAUGAAGUGGGAACAACCGAAAAGUCCCACGGAGAUCCGAAGCUUUUUAGGAUUAGCCGGAUAUUACCGAAGGUUUAUCCAAGGCUUUUCUUCGAUCGCUAGUCCAUUAACAGCUUUGACCCACAAAGGAGCUACUUAUGCUUGGAGUGAUAAGCAUAAAGAAGCAUUCGAGAAGCUAAAGAAGAAACUAUGCGAGGCACCGAUACUUUCUCUACCCGAUGGGGUUGAAGACUUCGCUGUUUAUAGCGAUGCGUCUGGGGUUGGAUUGGGUUGUGUUUUGACCCAAAGAGAAAAGGUGAUAGCAUAUGCGUCUCGACAGCUGAAAGAGCAUGAAAAGAACUACCCGACUCAUGAUUUGGAGUUGGCAGCGGUAGUUUUCGCUCUGAAAAUAUGGAGGCAUUACCUCUAUGGCACGAAGUGCAAACUUUUCACUGAUCAUAAGAGUCUCCAAUAUCUCUUUAAUCAGAAAGAAUUGAAUAUGAGGCAACGACGCUGGCUAGAAUUACUUAAAGACUACGACUGCGAGAUACUUUACCACCCCGGUAAAGCUAAUGUUGUUGCUGAUGCUCUCAGUCGGAAAGUCAAUCUUGAAAGGAGAAGGCCAAGAGCGUUGAGAAUUGAAGUUGUCUCGACUAUUUUGGAAAGUAUAAAGAAAGCUCAAAGCGAAGCUUCUGAGAAGAAUGACCGAAAGGAGGAACGUUUGGGCAAAACGUUGGUGUUCGGUGUAAACAGUCAUGGACUGAAGGUGUUCCAAGAUCGGAUUUGGAUACCUAAGACAGGAGGAGUCAGAGAUCUUCUGAUGGAAGAAGCUCACAAGACCAUGUACUCGAUUCAUCCCGGUAGCACAAAAAUGUAUAGGGACCUGAAACCCUAUUAUUGGUGGCCGACGAUGAAGCUCGACAUUGCGAAGUAUGUGGCCGAGUGUGUGACCUGUGCAAGAGUCAAGGCACAACAUCAGAAACCAUACGGGAGUUUAGAACCAUUACCUGUGCCUAUGGGUAAGUGGGAAGACAUUGCUAUGGAUUUUGUCACUAAACUGCCCAGAACAAAGAAUGGUCACGACAUGAUUUGGGUGGUCGUUGAUCGAUUCACUAAGAGUGCGCAUUUCAUAGCGGCCAAGGAGAAAUGGUCUAUGGAAAAGCUUGCGAAUUCUUACGUGAAGGAAAUUGUGAGGCUUCACGGUGUUCCGUUAACGAUUGUGUCGGAUCGUGAUAGCCGUUUCACCUCAAGGUUUUGGAAAAGUCUACAAGAGGAAAUGGGUACCAAGUUAUGUUUAAGCACAGCUUACCAUCCGCAGACUGAUGGUCAGAGUGAAAGAACAAUACAAACACUUGAAGAUAUGCUGAGAGCAUGUACCUUGGAAUUCCUAGGUAAUUGGGAUGAACAUUUACCGUUGGUAGAAUUUUCCUAUAAUAAUAGUUUUCACUCGAGCAUUAAGAUGGCACCUUACCAAGCUUUGUAUGGACAGAAGUGUCGUACGCCGUCUUGUUGGCUUGAGGCUGGGGAAAAGCAGUUUAUGGGACCGGAGAUAGUCCAUCAAACUGCUGAAAAGUUGAAAAUAAUUAGGGAGAGAAUGUUAGCAGCUCAGGAUCGUCAAAAGAGCUAUGCUGACAAAAAGCGAAGACCGAUGACCUUUGAAGUUGGAGAUUCAGAUUUGCUUAAAGUCUCGCCAUGGAAGGGAUUUAUAAGAUUUGGUAAAAGGGGAAAGUUAAGUCCAAGGUUUAUUGGACCGUUUAAAGUUCUUCAGAGGAUUGGGAACCAAGCUUACAAGCUCGAACUACCAGAAGAACUGAAUGGAAUUCAUAACACUUUUCAUGUGUGUUAUUUGAGGAAGUUCACGGGAGAAGUUCCCGACAUGAUUCCACUUUCGGAGUUAAGAAUUGAUGAGAACAAAAGGUUGAUUGAAGAACCAGAGGCAAUCGUUGACCGAAAGACUAAGAAGUUGCGACGCAAGAUGGUUGAGUUAGUGCUUGUCCGAUGGAAACACACGAAUGGGCCGAAUCUCACCUGGGAAACGGAGAGUGACAUGAUGAGUCGCUACCCGCAUUUGUUUGCUGAUGUGUGAUUCCGGGGACGGAAUCAUUCUAAGGUGGAGAGAAUUGUAACGCCCGUGUUUCUGGGCUUGCCAUUUUUAGCAAUGUAAUAGUCUAGGUUAACCUUUGUAACCCAAUUUGAAAUAAUAAAAAUGUAUUAUUUGUGAAUUAUGUGAAUUAUGUGUGUAUUUUCUUAAUUAUUAUAAUUUAAUGAAUUAAGAAUAAAAUGAGCGUCAAAAUUUAAGUGUAAAAUAAACUCGAUAUCUUUGCAUAAAGUUGUAGUGGCCGAAACGAGGUUUCCGAAUAUAUAUAGAACGCCCAAAUCUGACUUCGUAUGAGGAAGUUAUGAUUUUCUGAAGUUUCGACUUGGCAGUAUGCAGCCCGAAUACUCGAUUUGAGAUCGAGCGGUUUUUAGCCGAAACAAUCUAAACGAGAAUCGAAGAUCUCGUUGUUAGUAGCGAAACGAUGAAAAGUUAGGCGAGAACGGACGUCAGACGAAGAAGUUAUGAAUUUAUAACGAAGUUUUUCUGUCCCGGCCUUCUAAAAAUAAAUAAUAAAAAUAAAAGUCAAAAUUAGCCGACGGAGUCUAAAUGAAAGUUGUAGAGUAUGGUCUGACCUUCGCGUGGAUAUAAAGAACGUCGAAAACGGAGCUCGUAUGCGAAAGUUACGCAAUUUAGAAGUUCGACGAGUCAAUUACGCCGAGCGUAAUUUGAGUACGCCCAGCGUACUCAGUCGGAUGCAACUUGUCUGACCAAUACUCGAGUGCCACCACUCGACGCACACAAUGACAUCAAAGUACGCCCAGCGUAACCCGAGUACGCCCAGCGUAAUUUGAGAUUACGCCCAUCGUAAUCCCAGACCCUCAGCCUAUAAAUAGAACUCGAAAUCAGCCAUUUUCUCUUGUUCAAACUCUUUCUUCUCCCUAUUUUUUGCCUCGUUUUGCGUGCCGUUUAUACCCCGAAGCCCCGGUAUUAUUCCCGAGCCCCGAAGCAAGUUCAGAAGUCCCGAGGAUCCCGAGAAGUGANNNNNNNNNNNNNNNNNNNNNNNNNNNNNNNNNNNNNNNNNNNNNNNNNNNNNNNNNNNNNNNNNNNNNNNNNNNNNNNNNNNNNNNNNNNNNNNNNNNNNNNNNNNNNNNNNNNNNNNNNNNNNNNNNNNNNNNNNNNNNNNNNNNNNNNNNNNNNNNNNNNNNNNNNNNNNNNNNNNNNNNNNNNNNNNNNNNNNNNNNNNNNNNNNNNNNNNNNNNNNNNNNNNNNNNNNNNGUGUAUAUAUUUUGUGGUUAUAUGUGUGAAUGUAUAUUCACUCUCUUCUAUCUCAUAGAUCUGAUAUAUUCUCUAUGAAAUACGUGUUAUGUGUGUAUGCCUCAUCUGUUAUGUGGAAUAUGUAUUGAUUAAAGCAUGCUAUACAGGUUUUUAAACAAUGUAUAAAAAUGUAUAUUUUUAUCUACUAAUAUGUUGGGUAGAACAUGGGUAGAUAAUUGGUGUGAAAUAAACAGAUGAGAGGCCUCGGUGUUAUUGGUGUUAUUCUAGUCAUUCAGCAGAGUAUGGAUGACGACCACAGACUAUUCUAGACUGUCCUGUGAAACACUAG